rnacentral:rRNA from 1 species
CCUACGGGAGGCAGCAGUGGGGAAUAUUGCGCAAUGGGGGGAACCCUGACGCAGCAACGCCGCGUGAGUGACGAAGGCCUUCGGGUUGUAAAGCUCUUUCGGUUGGGAAGAAGGGAAAGCAGGUUAAUAAGCUGUUUUUUUGAUGGUACCAAAAGAAGAAGCACCGGCAAACUUCGUGCCAGCAGCCGCGGUAAUACGAAGGGUGCGAGCGUUGUUCGGAAUUACUGGGCGUAAAGGGUUCGUAGGCGGGCAUGCAAGUCAAGUGUGAAAUCCCUGGGCU